ACGAGUUAGGGUCCUUUACGGCCCGACCUCCCAACCCUUUGUCUACCAAACCAUUUUUGUUGCUUCGGCGGGCCCGUCUUCACGGACCGCCGGGGGACCGCCGAGAGGCGUCCUCUGGCCCGCGCCCGCCGGUGGCCGACACCAAAACUCUUGAAACAAAUCGUGUCCUUCUAAGUACCUUGAUUUAAUCAAACAAAAAAGCA
rnacentral:misc_RNA from 1 species